AUGGACAAGAGCAUGCUCGGCGACCUCGACAACCUCCCCGACGAGGACAAGAUGCGCAUGUCCGCCAUGAUCGAACAGCUCCAGAUGCGUGACAGUCUACGGAUGUACAAUGCGCUGGUGGAGACAUGCUUCAAGGACUGUGUUGACACAUUCCGGAGGAAGACUCUGGACAAGCAAGAGGAGUCAUGUGUCCGCCGCUGCGCUGAGAAGUUCCUGAAGCACUCCAUGAGGGUCGGCAUGCGAUUUGCUGAGCUUAACCAAGGCGUUGCCACACCCGACUAA
rnacentral:rRNA from 1 species